CGCUGUAGUGUUACUGACGCUAAAGCUCGAAAGUGCGGGUAUCGAACAGGAUUAGAUACCCUGGUAGUCCGCACGGUAAACGAUGGAUGCCCGCUGUUUGCCCUUCGGGGUGAGUGGCUAAGCGAAAGCGUUAAGCAUCCCACCUGGGGAGUACGCCGGCAACGGUGAAACUCAAAGGAAUUGACGGGGGCCCGCACAAGCGGAGGAACAUGUGGUUUAAUUCGAUGAUACGCGAGGAACCUUACCCGGGCUUGAAUUGCAGAUGACGGAUCUAGAGAUAGUGACUUCCUUCGGGACAUCUGUGAAGGUGCUGCAUGGUUGUCGUCAGCUCGUGCCGUGAGGUGUCGGCUUAAGUGCCAUAACGAGCGCAACCCUUCUCUUCAGUUGCCAUCAGGUCAAGCUGGGCACUCUGGAGACACUGCCACCGUAAGGUGUGAGGAAGGUGGGGAUGACGUCAAAUCAGCACGGCCUUGACGGGCGGGGCUACCCACGUGUUACAAUGGCCGGUACAGAAAGUCGGAUGCGCGUAAGGUCAUUCUAAUCAAGAAAGCCGGUGCCAGUUCGGACUGAGGUCUGCAACCCGACAUCACGAAGCUGAUCG
rnacentral:rRNA from 1 species